AUUGAACGCUGGCGGCAUGCCUUACACAUGCAAGUCGAACGGCAGCACGGGUGCUUGCACCUGGUGGCGAGUGGCGAACGGGUGAGUAAUACAUCGGAACAUGUCCUGUAGUGGGGGAUAGCCCGGCGAAAGCCGGAUUAAUACCGCAUACGAUCUACGGAUGAAAGCGGGGGACCUUCGGGCCUCGCGCUAUAGGGUUGGCCGAUGGCUGAUUAGCUAGUUGGUGGGGUAAAGGCCUACCAAGGCGACGAUCAGUAGCUGGUCUGAGAGGACGACCAGCCACACUGGGACUGAGACACGGCCCAGACUCCUACGGGAGGCAGCAGUGGGGAACUUUGGACAAAGGGCGAAAGCCUGAUCCAGCAAUGCCGCGUGUGUGAAGAAGGCCUUCGGGUUGUAAAGCACUUUUGUCCGGAAAGAAAUCCUUGGCCCUAAUACGGUCGGGGGAUGACGGUACCGGAAGAAUAAGCACCGGCUAACUACGUG
rnacentral:rRNA from 1 species